GUGGUUGUGGCUCAGUGGUAGAGCGCUUGCCUAGCACAUGUGAGGCCCUGGGUUCAAUCCCCAGCACCACA
rnacentral:tRNA from 1 species